ensembl:snRNA U6 U6 spliceosomal RNA
GUGCUCGCUUCGGCAGCACAUAUACUAAAACUGGAAUGGCACAGAGAAGAUUAGCAUGGACCCUGUGCAAGGAUGACAAGCAAAUUCAUGAAGCGUUCCAUAUUUUU